AUUUUGAGUGGCUAUAAUGAAACUGUGAAACUGUUAAGUAAGCUUUAAUCAAAUUCUCAUUAUAAGAAAUGCGUUUUUAUUUUUAAAAACAUAUGCUGCAUAAUACUGAAUUAUGAAAAUUGCUUCGCAAUCGAAUAAUUUCGGCAUUUCUUUGAUUAAUCAAGAAAUAAAAUAGGACUAACGAAUUGGAUCUGUUGCUCACUAAUACAUUAUUGAAAAGAUUGCAUUUAAGAGCUUUAUGUGAAAGAUUGUGACCACUCUUUCAUUUGUUGAAUUCCAAAAUUGCGUUGUCAUGAACCUAAUGCCUUGCUAAGGAGAAAAGCUGAUAAAUCAUCAUAUUUUUCGCAAUAAAAUUGGCUACAAUAAGAAAGGUUUGACUUUUGAAAGAUCCAUAAUCCGAACUUGCAACAUACAACUUAUCUCGAUGGAAUCGAGAAUCAUGAAAUAAUAAAUUCCCCAAUACAUAUGUUUAGAAAUUUUUAAUUAAGCUAUAAUUUUUAUUAUUUAUUAUUGCAUAUGGGUGAGUAUUGUUACUCACAUAUAAAAAGGAAUUUUAUUCUUAUGACCCUUGCUAUAAAACGUUCUUCCAAAAAUUUCCCUUUUGUUUAACAUAAUGAAGAAACUUCAUUUUUGACAUAUAUGGACAACGGCAUUUAAAUUGUGUCCAUCAUGAAAUUUUUAUUGACAAACUGGAAUUAAAGAGUUGUUUCGUGCUUAUGUAAUACAGAAAGAAAUGUUUCACAAACUGAAUUUUCUCAUUGCCCACUCAAUGAAAAAACCAUAUGCUUUAAAAUUUUGUGAUAUUUUCUCAGCUUCCGAAUUGAAAGAAGCGUUUACUGGUGCAUACUAGAGAAAACACGUACAUGUGACAUUUGUGGUAAAGAAAUUUUUCAACAGUCACUUUU